UUUAAAGUGACCCUAUGAACUGUGUAAAUAGAAUUGUAUAAACAUUUGCGUUCCUAUCCAGUAUUGAGGAACAACUUACUAUGAUGGUGAUGGAAAUAAAACAUGAACUAUGUAUACCGAAAUAUUGAACUUAUGAUUCGAAUGAACUAUGUGUAAAUAUAUCCAGAUAUUGGACUUGAUGAAUGUGAUGAACUUAUUAUA
rnacentral:lncRNA from 1 species